UAAGCGACUAAGCGUACACGGUGGAUGCCCUGGCAGUCAGAGGCGAUGAAGGACGUGCUAAUCUGCGAUAAGCGUCGGUAAGGUGAUAUGAACCGUUAUAACCGGCGAUUUCCGAAUGGGGAAACCCAGUGUGUUUCGACACACUAUCAUUAACUGAAUCCAUAGGUUAAUGAGGCGAACCGGGGGAACUGAAACAUCUAAGUACCCCGAGGAAAAGAAAUCAACCGAGAUUCCCCCAGUAGCGGCGAGCGAACGGGGAGCAGCCCAGAGCCUGAAUCAGUGUGUGUGUUAGUGGAAGCGUCUGGAAAGGCGCGCGAUACAGGGUGACAGCCCCGUACACAAAAAUGCACAUAUUGUGAGCUCGAUGAGUAGGGCGGGACACGUGGUAUCCUGUCUGAAUAUGGGGGGACCAUCCUCCAAGGCUAAAUACUCCUGACUGACCGAUAGUGAACCAGUACCGUGAGGGAAAGGCGAAAAGAACCCCGGCGAGGGGAGUGAAAAAGAACCUGAAACCGUGUACGUACAAGCAGUGGGAGCCUCUUUAUGGGGUGACUGCGUACCUUUUGUAUAAUGGGUCAGCGACUUAUAUUCUGUAGCAAGGUUAACCGAAUAGGGGAGCCGAAGGGAAACCGAGUCUUAACUGGGCGUUAAGUUGCAGGGUAUAGACCCGAAACCCGGUGAUCUAGCCAUGGGCAGGUUGAAGGUUGGGUAACACUAACUGGAGGACCGAACCGACUAAUGUUGAAAAAUUAGCGGAUGACUUGUGGCUGGGGGUGAAAGGCCAAUCAAACCGGGAGAUAGCUGGUUCUCCCCGAAAGCUAUUUAGGUAGCGCCUCGUGAAUUCAUCUCCGGGGGUAGAGCACUGUUUCGGCAAGGGGGUCAUCCCGACUUACCAACCCGAUGCAAACUGCGAAUACCGGAGAAUGUUAUCACGGGAGACACACGGCGGGUGCUAACGUCCGUCGUGAAGAGGGAAACAACCCAGACCGCCAGCUAAGGUCCCAAAGUCAUGGUUAAGUGGGAAACGAUGUGGGAAGGCCCAGACAGCCAGGAUGUUGGCUUAGAAGCAGCCAUCAUUUAAAGAAAGCGUAAUAGCUCACUGGUCGAGUCGGCCUGCGCGGAAGAUGUAACGGGGCUAAACCAUGCACCGAAGCUGCGGCAGCGACACUAUGUGUUGUUGGGUAGGGGAGCGUUCUGUAAGCCUGUGAAGGUGUGCUGUGAGGUAUGCUGGAGGUAUCAGAAGUGCGAAUGCUGACAUAAGUAACGAUAAAGCGGGUGAAAAGCCCGCUCGCCGGAAGACCAAGGGUUCCUGUCCAACGUUAAUCGGGGCAGGGUGAGUCGACCCCUAAGGCGAGGCCGAAAGGCGUAGUCGAUGGGAAACAGGUUAAUAUUCCUGUACUUGGUGUUACUGCGAAGGGGGGACGGAGAAGGCUAUGUUGGCCGGGCGACGGUUGUCCCGGUUUAAGCGUGUAGGCUGGUUUUCCAGGCAAAUCCGGAAAAUCAAGGCUGAGGCGUGAUGACGAGGCACUACGGUGCUGAAGCAACAAAUGCCCUGCUUCCAGGAAAAGCCUCUAAGCAUCAGGUAACAUCAAAUCGUACCCCAAACCGACACAGGUGGUCAGGUAGAGAAUACCAAGGCGCUUGAGAGAACUCGGGUGAAGGAACUAGGCAAAAUGGUGCCGUAACUUCGGGAGAAGGCACGCUGAUAUGUAGGUGAAGUCCCUUGCGGAUGGAGCUGAAAUCAGUCGAAGAUACCAGCUGGCUGCAACUGUUUAUUAAAAACACAGCACUGUGCAAACACGAAAGUGGACGUAUACGGUGUGACGCCUGCCCGGUGCCGGAAGGUUAAUUGAUGGGGUUAGCGGUAACGCGAAGCUCUUGAUCGAAGCCCCGGUAAACGGCGGCCGUAACUAUAACGGUCCUAAGGUAGCGAAAUUCCUUGUCGGGUAAGUUCCGACCUGCACGAAUGGCGUAAUGAUGGCCAGGCUGUCUCCACCCGAGACUCAGUGAAAUUGAACUCGCUGUGAAGAUGCAGUGUACCCGCGGCAAGACGGAAAGACCCCGUGAACCUUUACUAUAGCUUGACACUGAACAUUGAACCUUGAUGUGUAGGAUAGGUGGGAGGCUUUGAAGUGUGGACGCCAGUCUGCAUGGAGCCGACCUUGAAAUACCACCCUUUAAUGUUUGAUGUUCUAACGUUGGCCCCUGAUCGGGGUUGCGGACAGUGUCUGGUGGGUAGUUUGACUGGGGCGGUCUCCUCCUAAAGAGUAACGGAGGAGCACGAAGGUUGGCUAAUCCUGGUCGGACAUCAGGAGGUUAGUGCAAUGGCAUAAGCCAGCUUGACUGCGAGCGUGACGGCGCGAGCAGGUGCGAAAGCAGGUCAUAGUGAUCCGGUGGUUCUGAAUGGAAGGGCCAUCGCUCAACGGAUAAAAGGUACUCCGGGGAUAACAGGCUGAUACCGCCCAAGAGUUCAUAUCGACGGCGGUGUUUGGCACCUCGAUGUCGGCUCAUCACAUCCUGGGGCUGAAGUAGGUCCCAAGGGUAUGGCUGUUCGCCAUUUAAAGUGGUACGCGAGCUGGGUUUAGAACGUCGUGAGACAGUUCGGUCCCUAUCUGCCGUGGGCGCUGGAGAACUGAGGGGGGCUGCUCCUAGUACGAGAGGACCGGAGUGGACGCAUCACUGGUGUUCGGGUUGUCAUGCCAAUGGCACUGCCCGGUAGCUAAAUGCGGAAGAGAUAAGUGCUGAAAGCAUCUAAGCACGAAACUUGCCCCGAGAUGAGUUCUCCCUGACCCUUUAAGGGUCCUGAAGGAACGUUGAAGACGACGACGUUGAUAGGCCGGGUGUGUAAGCGCAGCGAUGCGUUGAGCUAACCGGUACUAAUGAACCGUGAGGCUUAACCU
rnacentral:rRNA from 1 species